CUAACACAUGCMAGUCGARCGGUASCACAGAGGAGCUUGCUCCUUGGGUGACGAGUGGCGGACGGGUGAGUAAUGUCUGGGAAACUGCCCGAUGGAGGGGGAUAACUACUGGAAACGGUAGCUAAUACCGCAUAWCGUCGCAAGACCAAAGAGGGGGACCUUCGGGCCUCUUGCCAUCKGAUGUGCCCMGAUGGGAUUAGCUAGKAGGUGAGGUAACGGCUCACCUAGGSGACGAUCCCUAGCUGGUCUGARAGGAUGACCAKCCACACUGGAACUGARACMCGGUCCARACUCCUACGGGAGGSRGCAGUGGGGAAUAUUGCACAAUGGGCGCAAGCCUGAUGCAGCCAUGCCGCGUGUAUGAAGAAGGCCUUCGGGUUGUAAAGUACUUUCAGCGAGGAGGAAGGCGUUGUGGUUAAUAACCGCAGCGAUUGACGUUACUCGCAGAAGAAGCACCGGCUAACUCCGUGCCAGCAGCCGCGGUAAUACGAGGGUGCAAGCGUUAAUCGGAAUUACUGGGCGUAAAGCGCACGCAGGCGGUCUGUCAAGUCGGAUGUGAAAUCCCCGGGCUCAACCUGGGAACUGCAUCCGAAACUGGCAGGCUAGAGUCUUGUAGAGGGGGGUAGAAUUCCAGGUGUAGCGGUGAAAUGCGUAGAGAUCUGGAGGAAUACCGGUGGCGAAGGCGGCCCCCUGGACAAAGACUGACGCUCAGGUGCGAAAGCGUGGGGAGCAACAGGAUUAGAUACCCUGGUAGUCCACGCCGUAAACGAUGUCGACUUGGAGGUUGUGCCCUUGAGGCGUGGCUUCCGGAGCUAACGCGUUAAGUCGACCGCCUGGGGAGUACGGCCGCAAGGUUAAAACUCAAAUGAAUUGACGGGGGCCCGCACAAGCGGUGGAGCAUGUGGUUUAAUUCGAUGCAACGCGAAGAACCUUACCUACUCUUGACAUCCACGGAAUUUAGCAGAGAUGCUUUAGUGCCUUCGGGAACCGUGAGACAGGUGCUGCAUGGCUGUCGUCAGCUCGUGUUGUGAAAUGUUGGGUUAAGUCCCGCAACGAGCGCAACCCUUAUCCUUUGUUGCCAGCGAUUCGGUCGGGAACUCAAAGGAGACUGCCAGUGAUAAACUGGAGGAAGGUGGGGAUGACGUCAAGUCAUCAUGGCCCUUACGAGUAGGGCUACACACGUGCUACAAUGGCGCAUACAAAGAGAAGCGACCUCGCGAGAGCAAGCGGACCUCAUAAAGUGCGUCGUAGUCCGGAUUGGAGUCUGCAACUCGACUCCAUGAAGUCGGAAUCGCUAGUAAUCGUGGAUCAGAAUGCCACGGUGAAUACGUUCCCGGGCCUUGUACACACCGCCCGUCACACCAUGGGAGUGGGUUGCAAAAGAAGUAGGUAGCUUAACCUUCGGGAGGGCGCUUACCACUUUGUG
rnacentral:rRNA from 1 species